rnacentral:rRNA from 1 species
GAUGAACGCUGGCGGCGUGCCUAAUACAUGCAAGUAGAACGCUGAAGGAGGAGCUUGCUCUUCUGGAUGAGUUGCGAACGGGUGAGUAACGCGUAGGUAACCUGCCUGGUAGCGGGGGAUAACUAUUGGAAACGAUAGCUAAUACCGCAUGACAACAGUUAUUGCAUGAUAACUGUUUAAAAGGGGCAACUGCUCCACUACCAGAUGGACCUGCGUUGUAUUAGCUAGUUGGUGAGGUAACGGCUCACCAAGGCGACGAUACAUAGCCGACCUGAGAGGGUGAUCGGCCACACUGGGACUGAGACACGGCCCAGACUCCUACGGGAGGCAGCAGUAGGGAAUCUUUGGCAAUGGACGGAAGUCUGACCGAGCAACGCCGCGUGAGUGAAGAAGGUUUUCGGAUCGUAAAGCUCUGUUGUAAGAGAAGAACGAGUGUGAGAGUGGAAAGUUCACACUGUGACGGUAUCUGACCAGAAAGGGACGGCUAACUACGUG